CUACUCUCACAGUAGCACAGCCAGCUGCGGAGUCUACAUGAGGUCAGCCCUUCCUGUCUUUUACAAUAGGAAUGGCAGAAGGUGCGUUUGCUUGCCAUGCUUCUACCAUGUUUGAGCAUCGUGAAUUUCCCUUCAUGCCUUUCACUCGGAACUGUGCAAAAGAGAUAGAAUCUAUUCUCCACAGAUGUUUCAGACUGAAUGACCACCAGCCAUGAUGACAGAAGGAC